rnacentral:lncRNA from 1 species
GGACACAAAGGCCAUAGGCGAGAUAAUCUUGGUGGUUUUAUCGUCACAAUAAAACCUCAGUGAUAGAUAGAUGUAUGGAAUUCAUAAUAAGCGAUUUUCAUCAGUUCCUGGCAUCUAUUUAGCUGAUUAGAAACGUUCGUCUUUUAUGAUGGAAAGAUCAUGUUUGAUGAAAUCUUACAUCUCAAUUAUAGAAAGUAUCAAUCAGGAC